rnacentral:rRNA from 1 species
UACGAAGGGGGCUAGCGUUGCUCGGAAUUACUGGGCGUAAAGCGCACGUAGGCGGAUUGCUAAGUCAGGGGUGAAAUCCUGGAGCUCAACUCCAGAACUGCCUUUGAUACUGGCGAUCUUGAGUCCGGGAGAGGUGAGUGGAACUGCGAGUGUAGAGGUGAAAUUCGUAGAUAUUCGCAAGAACACCAGUGGCGAAGGCGGCUCACUGGCCCGGUACUGACGCUGAGGUGCGAAAGCGUGG